UGUUAAGGUGUGUUGAGGUCUGUUAAGGUGUGUUGAGGUCUGUUAAGGUGUGUUGAGGCGUGUUGAGGUCUGUUAAGGUGUGUUGAGGUCUGUUAAGGUGUGUUGAGGUCUGUUAAGGUGUGUUGAGGCGUGUUGAGGUCUGUUGAGGCGUGUUGAGGUCUGUUAAGGUGUGUUGAGGUCUGUUAACAUCUGUUGAGGUG